GGGUUGUGAGGUUAAGCGACUAAGCGUACACGGUGGAUGCCCUGGCAGUCAGAGGCGAUGAAGGACGUGCUAAUCUGCGAUAAGCGCCGGUAAGGUGAUAUGAACCGUUAUAACCGGCGAUUUCCGAAUGGGGAAACCCAGUGUGACUCGUCACACUAUCAUUAACUGAAUCCAUAGGUUAAUGAGGCGAACCGGGGGAACUGAAACAUCUAAGUACCCCGAGGAAAAGAAAUCAACCGAGAUUCCCCCAGUAGCGGCGAGCGAACGGGGAGGAGCCCAGAGUCUGAAUCAGCAUGUGUGUUAGUGGAAGCGUCUGGAAAGGCGCGCGAUACAGGGUGACAGCCCCGUACACAAAAGCGCAUAUGCUGUGAGCUCGAUGAGUAGGGCGGGACACGUGGUAUCCUGUCUGAAUAUGGGGGGACCAUCCUCCAAGGCUAAAUACUCCUGACUGACCGAUAGUGAACCAGUACCGUGAGGGAAAGGCGAAAAGAACCCCGGCGAGGGGAGUGAAAAAGAACCUGAAACCGUGUACGUACAAGCAGUGGGAGCACCCUUUGGGGUGUGACUGCGUACCUUUUGUAUAAUGGGUCAGCGACUUAUAUUCUGUAGCAAGGUUAACCGUAUAGGGGAGCCG
rnacentral:rRNA from 1 species